CCCCGACCCUCUUCUCUUCUACCCUUGGUCCCACGUCUCGGCCCCAACGCUCAACCAACGGCGACGACCUAUAAUUUAGGGCGGAUAAAGUGCUUCGUGCAGCACGUGGAGGCAGUCGUCGUGGUUUCUACCAAGACUCGGCGCGUGCGAGUUCGACCGACGAAGACCAUCUCUACAUGCGACAAGGACGAGCGCUAUCAGUGUAGCACGUGUACAUGUAUAUGUACUUGUACGCCUGUGUAUGGCUUGAAGCAUGCAUACGCAAUAACACAUACUCAUACUUCGUCGCAAUAUGGAUCAUCGAAUUAUGAACGAAAAAACGAUUAGAUUCUUCAAUUUUGAUAAUAUAUUUAGAAAAAUUUAUAGUAAUUUUUUUGUAAAAUCAUUAAAUCUUACAUUUUUUGUUUAUAUAGUUCGUAAGAAUAUCUAAAAUGUAAGAAACAAAAGAAAAUGAAGAAUUAGGAAGAAUGAAAGACGACGGAUCUUUUGGAGAAGAAAAAAGUUAAAAAAAAACUUGAAAGAAGUUAAAAGAAGAAAACAAUUUUUUGUAUUUAUCUCUCCUUCUCCUUCCUAAAUGACUACUAUAAUCGUCUUAUUACAUUGCUACAACCGGGACGAGCGAUCGAUAUCUUCCUUUCCUGCCUACCCUUGUGAACAAAGAUCAUCUUUUUUUGUUUCUCUCCUGUUUCAUUUUCUAGUAUACUCAAAUAUAUUAUUUCUAUCUAAUCGAGAUAUAUCGAGAUGAUCUUUCAAUGAUUUGAUUUGUAUUUUUAAAAUAUUAAUCUUUCUUAUCGGGGAAUAAUUAUGACAAUUCGUGUUUGAUCGAAUCAAAUUUCAGUAAGUGGAAAAGAGAAUAACUUAUUAUUGUGAAAGUAUUAAUAUGUUUCACAUAAACAAAAGAAUUUGUGAUUACGAGUCUAACGCAUGCUGAUACUUUUUGAAAUUGAAUAACUUUUUCUAAUGACAUAUCUUCUUUCUAAUCAUUGCACUGUGCAUAUAGUCCUAUGGUCAGUCGCAUCAUCGGCUACAUUCAUUGUAUCCUCUUCGUUCAUUCUUUUUUUCCAUGGCCUAUGAUGAUAUCGUCCAAUAGAAACGAGGUCGUGUGUAUGUACGUUCGCUUUCUCCGCUAUUUACACGAGCGCGUGCCUUUCUUCUCCCGUUUUCGGUCGUUACACUCCUUUGCAUUCGUUGAUUCCUUUUCGAACUUGAAACGGAUAUCAACGUACAUUCUUGUUAAGAAAUACAUUUUUUCUCAUAAAAUUCAAGUCUUAUUCGUAACCUGCGUGAGACUGCGUGAGACUGCGUCUGGACCUACCUUAUAUUUCGUCAUUCCUUUUUUAUAUGAGGUAACUUUCGUUUCAGAUUCUAAUAAUAAAACGCGAGAGAAUUUUAUUAGUCGAUCUUCUGAAAGGGGAGGUCAAAGACUUGUAAGAUUGUUAUACGUGGCCAACAUGUGAAACACAAAAUUAAAAGGACAAGGAUCUUAAGGGAAAAGAGAAACAAGGGAACAAAGA